rnacentral:lncRNA from 1 species
AAAAGCCAUAGACGCUUAUUGAAAAUAGUUCAAAUGAUAUGGAAGUCAGAAAGAUAGUGAGUGUUUUUCUGUUGUGUGUUUGGAUGAAUGUGUCUUUGGGGUAGUCACUAUUAACACUGGGUGUAUUUCCUUCCAGAUCUUUUCCAGUGUGCCUACAAAUAUGUAUGUACACAUUGUAAAAAACAAAAUAGUACCUGAUCAACAUUGAGUUCCCCUAUUCUCACUGCGUAGUCGACAUGGACAUCCUUUCAUGGUGAUACGAUGAGGCCUGAUCGACUCCUUUUGUUCGCUGGAGUGGCAGACUCAGUAGAGGAAGCUGAGACCAAGCAGCCGCAGGAACAAGGUAGGUUUUGGCCCGUGGCUCAGGCUUCCUCUGGUUAUGAGCUGGGUCUUGGAGUAACACCGGGGGAGGGGACAGAGCUGAGUACAGUGGGCAUUGGAUGUGGCU